rnacentral:rRNA from 1 species
GGUGACAGCCCCGUACACAAAAAUGCACAUGCUGUGAGCUCGAUGAGUAGGGCGGGACACGUGGUAUCCUGUCUGAAUAUGGGGGGACCAUCCUCCAAGGCUAAAUACUCCUGACUGACCGAUAGUGAACCAGUACCGUGAGGGAAAGGCGAAAAGAACCCCGGCGAGGGGAGUGAAAAAGAACCUGAAACCGUGUACGUACAAGCAGUGGGAGCACGCUUAGGCGUGUGACUGCGUACCUUUUGUAUAAUGGGUCAGCGACUUAUAUUCUGUAGCAAGGUUAACCGAAUAGGGGAGCCGAAGGGAAACCGAGUCUUAACUGGGCGUUAAGUUGCAGGGUAUAGACCCGAAACCCGGUGAUCUAGCCAUGGGCAGGUUGAAGGUUGGGUAACACUAACUGGAGGACCGAACCGACUAAUGUUGAAAAAUUAGCGGAUGACUUGUGGCUGGGGGUGAAAGGCCAAUCAAACCGGGAGAUAGCUGGUUCUCCCCGAAAGCUAUUUAGGUAGCGCCUCGUGAAUUCAUCUCCGGGGGUAGAGCACUGUUUCGGCAAGGGGGUCAUCCCGACUUACCAACCCGAUGCAAACUGCGAAUACCGGAGAAUGUUAUCACGGGAGACACACGGCGGGUGCUAACGUCCGUCGUGAAGAGGGAAACAACCCAGACCGCCAGCUAAGGUCCCAAAGUCAUGGUUAAGUGGGAAACGAUGUGGGAAGGCCCAGACAGCCAGGAUGUUGGCUUAGAAGCAGCCAUCAUUUAAAGAAAGCGUAAUAGCUCACUGGUCGAGUCGGCCUGCGCGGAAGAUGUAACGGGGCUAAACCAUGCACCGAAGCUGCGGCAGCGACGCUUAUGCGUUGUUGGGUAGGGGAGCGUUCUGUAAGCCUGCGAAGGUGUGCUGUGAGGCAUGCUGGAGGUAUCAGAAGUGCGAAUGCUGACAUAAGUAACGAUAAAGCGGGUGAAAAGCCCGCUCGCCGGAAGACCAAGGGUUCCUGUCCAACGUUAAUCGGGGCAGGGUGAGUCGACCCCUAAGGCGAGGCCGAAAGGCGUAGUCGAUGGGAAACAGGUUAAUAUUCCUGUACUUGGUGUUACUGCGAAGGGGGGACGGAGAAGGCUAUGUUGGCCGGGCGACGGUUGUCCCGGUUUAAGCGUGUAGGCUGGUUUUCCAGGCAAAUCCGGAAAAUCAAGGCUGAGGCGUGAUGACGAGGCACUACGGUGCUGAAGCAACAAAUGCCCUGCUUCCAGGAAAAGCCUCUAAGCAUCAGGUAACAUCAAAUCGUACCCCAAACCGACACAGGUGGUCAGGUAGAGAAUACCAAGGCGCUUGAGAGAACUCGGGUGAAGGAACUAGGCAAAAUGGUGCCGUAACUUCGGGAGAAGGCACGCUGAUAUGUAGGUGAAGUCCCUCGCGGAUGGAGCUGAAAUCAGUCGAAGAUACCAGCUGGCUGCAACUGUUUAUUAAAAACACAGCACUGUGCAAACACGAAAGUGGACGUAUACGGUGUGACGCCUGCCCGGUGCCGGAAGGUUAAUUGAUGGGGUCAGCGCAAGCGAAGCUCUUGAUCGAAGCCCCGGUAAACGGCGGCCGUAACUAUAACGGUCCUAAGGUAGCGAAAUUCCUUGUCGGGUAAGUUCCGACCUGCACGAAUGGCGUAAUGAUGGCCAGGCUGUCUCCACCCGAGACUCAGUGAAAUUGAACUCGCUGUGAAGAUGCAGUGUACCCGCGGCAAGACGGAAAGACCCCGUGAACCUUUACUAUAGCUUGACACUGAACAUUGAGCCUUGAUGUGUAGGAUAGGUGGGAGGCUUUGAAGUGUGGACGCCAGUCUGCAUGGAGCCGACCUUGAAAUACCACCCUUUAAUGUUUGAUGUUCUAACGUUGACCCGUAAUCCGGGUUGCGGACAGUGUCUGGUGGGUAGUUUGACUGGGGCGGUCUCCUCCUAAAGAGUAACGGAGGAGCACGAAGGUUGGCUAAUCCUGGUCGGACAUCAGGAGGUUAGUGCAAUGGCAUAAGCCAGCUUGACUGCGAGCGUGACGGCGCGAGCAGGUGCGAAAGCAGGUCAUAGUGAUCCGGUGGUUCUGAAUGGAAGGGCCAUCGCUCAACGGAUAAAAGGUACUCCGGGGAUAACAGGCUGAUACCGCCCAAGAGUUCAUAUCGACGGCGGUGUUUGGCACCUCGAUG